rnacentral:rRNA from 1 species
GCUAUUGGGGUUCGGCUAAGCCAUGCGAGCGGAGGGCGCGGUCGCAAGAUCGUGGCCCCGCACACGGCUCAGUAACACGUAGUCAACCUACCCUUGGGACGGGGACAACGCCGGGAAACUGGCGAUAAUCCCCGAUAGGUGAGGGAUGCUGGGAUGCUUCUUCGCUCAAAGCUCCGGCGCCCGAGGAUGGGACUGCGGCCUAUCAGGCUGUUGGUGGUGUGACGGACCACCAAACCUACGACGGGUACGGGCGAUGGGAGUCGGAGCCUGGAGAUGGGGACUGAGACAAGGCCCCAGGCCCUACGGGGCGCAGCAGGCGCGAAAAACUCCGCAAUGCGCGCAAGCGUGAGGGGGGAACCCCCAAGUGCCGUUGGCUUUUGAUCGACGGCUUUUCGGAAGUCCAAUAAGCUUCCGGAAUAAGGGCUGGGUAAGACUGGUGCCAGCCGCCGCGGUAACACCAGCAGCCCAAGUGGUGGCCGCGAUAUUGGGCCUAAAGCGCUCGUAGCCGGAUCAGCAAGUCCUUUGUGAAAUCGGACCGCCCAACGGUUCGGCGUGCAAAGGAUACUGUUGGUCUUGAGACCGGGAGAGGUCGGAGGUACUCUUGGGGUAGCGGUGAAAUGCUGUAAUCCUGGGGGGACCACCAGUGGCGAAGGCGUCCGACCAGAACGGAUCUGACGGUGAGGGGCGAAGGCUAGGGGAGCGAACGGGAUUAGAUACCCCGGUAGUCCUAGCUGUAAAGCAUGCGGGCCAGGUGUCUAGCGCUCCUUGAGGGCGCUAUGUGCCGGAGGGAAGCCGUUAAGCCCGCCGCCUGAGAAGUACGGCCGCAAGGCUGAAACUUAAAGAAAUUGGCGGGGGAGCACCACAAAGGGUGGACCUGCGGUUCA